rnacentral:lncRNA from 1 species
AUUAUCUUAUCUCAUUCUUUUCUAAGUUACCCAAUUUAACUGCCUUAUCCUUUUAUCACAACUCCCCUCAUUGAACACUUACCAGAUCCUUUUCUGAUGCUAUGUAGGCAGUAUAACAGCUUUCGCAGCUGCUUGCUGAAUGAAAUGGGAAAAUGCACACACACUCACACGCACACACACAACCCUCUGGGAGUAUGUGUAAGGAGAGGAAUUUCAGCAGUAUUUCAGGAUCAAGGGAUGCAAGUGGCAGAAUUCUUGUUAACCCUGUGAAUAUGGCUUCACUUGCUUAUUGGCUGAAGGUCUACAAGGGCUCAAUUCACAUAUCUGAUCAAACCUGGAGUCCAGACUUUGUCCUGAUGCCUG